UUAAUUGAUUUGUUUGUUUCUCAGACGUCACUGUUGACAAGAGUUUUGGCGUGUCCCCCCGGCAGGUCCCCCACAGGGCCGGCAGGCCCUGGGGAUCGACCCCGCCGAGGCAACGAAAAAUCGGUAGGUACACAAAGGGUGGGAGUAAGGGCCAAAGACCCGGUACUCGGUAAUGAUCCUUCCGCAGGUUCACCUACGGAAA
rnacentral:misc_RNA from 1 species